UCCCUUGUUGCUCAGUCGGUAAAGAGUCUGCCUGCAAUGCAGGAGACCCAAGUUCAAUUCCUGGGUUGGGAA
rnacentral:tRNA from 1 species